rnacentral:rRNA from 1 species
UAGGGAAUCUUCGGCAAUGGGGGCAACCCUGACCGAGCAACGCCGCGUGAGUGAAGAAGGUUUUCGGAUCGUAAAGCUCUGUUGUAAGAGAAGAACGAGUGUGAGAGUGGAAAGUUCACACUGUGACGGUAACUUACCAGAAAGGGACGGCUAACUACGUGCCAGCAGCCGCGGUAAUACGUAGGUCCCGAGCGUUAUCCGGAUUUAUUGGGCGUAAAGCGAGCGCAGGCGGUUAGAUAAGUCUGAAGUUAAAGGCUGUGGCUUAACCAUAGUACGCUUUGGAAACUGUUUAACUUGAGUGCAGAAGGGGAGAGUGGAAUUCCAUGUGUAGCGGUGAAAUGCGUAGAUAUAUGGAGGAACACCGGUGGCGAAAGCGGCUCUCUGGUCUGUAACUGACGCUGAGGCUCGAAAGCGUGGGGAGCAAACAGGAUUAGAUACCCUGGUAGUCCACGCCGUAAACGAUGAGUGCUAGGUGUUGGGUCCUUUCCGGGACUCAGUGCCGCAGCUAACGCAUUAAAGCACUCCGCCUGGGGGAGUACGACCGCAAGGUUG